CGGGCCGGCCGCUGGGCGCUGAGGCCAACCGGGCCGCGGCUGGCGGUGGUGCGCGUCCUGGCGGUUGCCAGGGUCCCCGUGUUCUGGCAGCCCCGCUUCCGGACGCAGUUGGAUCCGCUCGCCUUGCCGCAGCAUGGGGCUUGGAGAAGCCAGUCCUCAGCCCCAGCUGCACCAUCCCAUAACCUUUUCUUGUUUUAAAGUUUUAUGUUCAAGUUUUUAUAAUUUCUAAGAAAAUAUUAGGACCCAUGGAAAUUUCUCUAGACUCCCAGGGGCUGACCAACCUUCUGGGUGCACUCACUGCAGCAAGAAGCCACCGCCGGCUGCAGUGACCAUUUGCUCUUGACCCCCUGGAGGGCCAGUGAUGGGAGUGGGGCCGCCCCGCGGGACCCCCAGGUCCCCUUCCCAGUCUCUUCUCUGACCUCAGCUUACCCUCCGCUGCACCUAGCUCUCCCUAUCAUUCUGUUUCUUUUCUUCUUUUACCCAGGCAAGAAUUGUUCCCUUUCCUGUUGUUGUGCCAGGUGCUGCCAAGCCUGAUCUCCAAAAGCCUGUCCAAGGACAGGGAAACCCUGAUGGAGGCCCCCACAGGUGAGAGGUAUGAGGGGACAAGCCCACAAUGAGGCUCAGAGGAGUUGGGGAGAGAGGGGGGCAACUUAGGAAUUCACCCCCUACCCACCCAUCUGCCCAACUACUCAAGAUUUAGCCAGGGCUCACCUUCCUGCCCCCUCAUCUUCAACACUUCCUGCUACCUCUCCAGGUGCUUUCCUGGCCACAGCAUGCCUCAUGCUCCUUCUUCCUGGCUCCUUGCCUGCUAGUUGGCCUAGGUUCAGGAGGUGACCAGGGAGAGUGAAUGAAAGAAUGGAAGUGCUGGUGAGUCUUCUGCUUAUUGUCCAGCUGCCCUGUCAGGCUCUAAGUUCUAAGCUCUCUCUGUCCCUAAGAUGCAAGGCCACAUCUGAAGUCCAUAAAAGUUGAGGACUCAUACUUCAAUUUAUUAUUGUUGUUCCUAUUAGUGCUCAGAACGAUGCCGUCUUCCCUUGGUAAGGAAGUGUGCACCGUCAAAGCCUCUGCAUGCUCAGUUUGCCAAUUCUUGUUUACUUGGAAGCCUGAGUCAACCAACCGUGGCCACCCAGAACACACACAGACCCAAUACACCAGACUCACACCUCCCAUGAACUGAGAGUCAGCCCUAUGUCCACAGACAGAUGCCUAUCCCUCCAGCGGGUACCAGAUGCACUGUUCCAGACCCACCCCUUAAGCCCAGACCACGAAUGUUAGAAAAUAGGAACUGGAUAGGCAAAAUAAUAGAGAUCCACUACGUAGGACUUUAAUCUUACUCCUCAGUCAUUACCCUGGCUUGCUGGUGCCAUCUCAAAUUCACAGGUAUCAUGGUGACGGUCGUCUUGUGUCUAAGCUUGUGCAUGUCUGGUCUCCUCUAGCUGUGAAAACUACAUUUCCAGUGUGUGCUGGGCAGGCAGUGCAGACUGUGGGGCUGACUGCACAGCUGGAGGCUUCAGGGGCAGGAGGAUGCCUUGAAGAGGCUGUGCCUGUGCUCCUGCAGGGGCCGCCCGGAGCACCCAGGUCUCAGGACCUUCGUGAACAUGUGGACGCUGCACAGAGGCCUGGAGAGGGCCCCAGGGGACUGGGGACUGGUGAGAGAACUGGAGGGCACAGCAGUGGCGAGGGUGGUGUGUCCAGAUCAGACAGCACACUUAACUCAGGCCCUGGAACAGAUCAGCGAGGCCGCUGCAGAGGGCGGCCUUAUCAGUGUGACACCUGUGACCGGAGCUUCAAAUGCCACUCAGAUGUGGUGAAGCACCAAAGCAUCCAUUCUGGGGGCAAGCCCUACGAGUGCAGCGACUGUGGGAAGGCCUUCAUCCACAGCUCGCACGUGGUGCGGCACCAGAGGACUCACCACGGGGACAAGCCCUACGUGUGCCAGGAGUGCGGGAAGGCCUUCAGCCAGAGCUUCAACCUCCUCAGACACCAGAGGGUCCACACGGGCGAGAAGCCCUACGAGUGUCCCGAGUGCGGCAAGGCCUUCAGCCAGAGGUCGGACGCCGCCAAGCACCGGAGGAUCCACACUGGAGAGAGGCUGUACGAGUGCAGCGACUGCGGCAGGACCUUCGUGCACAGCUCCAACGUGGUGCGCCACCAGCGGACUCACCACGGGGCGAGCCCGUACGAGUGCCAGGACUGCGGCCGCGCCUUCAGCCAGAGCUCCAACCUCCUCCAGCACCAGCGGGUCCACACGGGCGAGCGCCCCUACGCGUGCCCGGACUGCGGCCGCGCCUUCAGCCGCGCCUCCUUCCUCGGCGAGCACCGCCGCAUCCACACGGGCGAGAAGCCCCACGAGUGCGGCCAGUGCGGCCGCGCCUUCCGGGCGCUGUCCGGCUUCUUCCGGCACCAGAGGGUGCACACGGGCGAGAGGCCGUUCCGCUGCUCCGAGUGCGGCAGCGCCUUCCGCCUCAGCUCCCAUCUGAUCCAGCACCGGAGGGUGCACGGCGCGGAGUGAGCGCACGCGGGGGGCGCGGAGUGAGCGCACGCGGGGUGCGCAGGGGCAGCACCUCUGGGGCCUCCCACACCGCAGGCCUGUUCUCACUCUGUGCAGCCAGGGAAACAAUAAAGGUUUCUGCCUCUGAAAGCCUCCCUCUGUCUGCAGCCGGCGGGAAGGGAGGGUAGGAAAGGCCAGUGUCGCUGAUGGGCACUGCAGGCUUUCCCAAGGUAGAGACUUGAGGGACCCUGGGCAGUGCUGGACUGUGCCAGCUUUGCUCUGUGGUCAGCAGGCCUCACCUGUGCCCUCAUAACUCCCCUUAAUCUCAUUCUUCAAUGUGCAUGCAAAAAAGAUAUCAGGAGACUGCUUCUAAUAGACAACCAAGAAACAGAAUUUUUUAGAACUCAAAAGAAAAUAGGGGUAGUGUGGGAAAUAAGAAAAGGUGAACAAGAUUAUAAGUCAUAACCUUAGAGAAAGUGCAAGGGGAGCCAGCUGUGGGUGAGGUGGACAG
rnacentral:lncRNA from 1 species